rnacentral:rRNA from 1 species
AGGACGAACGCUGGCGGCGUGCUUAACACAUGCAAGUCGAACGGACUCCAUUUACUCGCAAGAGUAUUGAAGAGUCAGUGGCGAACGGGUGAGUAACACGUGAGAAACCUAUCCUGGUCUCUGGGAUAACAGCCGGAAACGGCUGCUAAUACCGGAUGCCGUCGGAGCGUCGCAUGGCGCGCUGACGAAAGGGUUACUGGAUCAGGAGGGUCUCGCGGCCUAUCAGCUAGUUGGUGGGGUAACGGCCUACCAAGGCAUCGACGGGUAGCUGGUCUGAGAGGAUGAUCAGCCACACUGGGACUGAGACACGGCCCAGACUCCUACGGGAGCAGCAGUGGGGAAUCUUGCGCAAUGGGCGAAAGCCUGACGCAGCAACGCCGC